GCUCCCUUCAGCUGCAACAUAUACUAAAACCAGAUUGAUAAAGAGAAGAUUGACAUGGCCCCCAUGCAAAGAUGACGUGCAAAUCCAUGAACAGCUCCAUGUUUUU
ensembl:snRNA U6 U6 spliceosomal RNA